CGCUCGCUGGGCCUGGCGGUGGCCGCCGCGGAGGCGGGGGCGGCCCCGGCGGGGUCCCCCGGGAGGGAGCGGCGCGGCCGAGGGGCGCCGGGCUGCGGGCCCCGCUGCCGCCGCGCCGGAAGGCACGGCCCGGGGGCGUCCCGCCUCAACCGGGGAGACGGCGACUGCCGGCUUGACAGCAGGCGGGGCGGUUUCCAGGGGAGCCGGGGCAGGGGGUGCGCUGUCCUGUCAGGCGGAGGGCAGCGGCGGAGCCCGGGGCAGCGGCAGCACCGGCCCCGCCGCGGGGCCCGAGCGGCCACUCCAGGCCCGGGCGCUGCCCGAAGCCCGUCAGGAGCUGUCGAGGCGCUGGACGGGCCUGGCCCCGCGCUCCCUGUGAGCCACCGGGGCAGCCGCCGCUUCCCGAAGGCUGAAGCCGAGGCAGGAGUUGGGCGGCAGGAAGAAGCGGCUGCCCGGGCUCCCGGGGGCUGCGAGGGCGUCGUUCACAGCCGAACGGGGGGCUCUGCCCCGGGAGCUGCGCGACUGGAGCCUGCCGGCUCUGCUCGCCCGGGGAGGCUCCUUCCAGCCCCUGACAUGACAGCUUAGCCAAAAGAUCCUCCGCGGAUAGGAGCUCUGUUUUCCGUGGAAAACUAUUGCACAGCCUGUUUUUCAGAAAAGAUGAUGAAGGUACCUGAAACAUGUAUUAAGAAGAAGCCACAACAGCGGAUACGGCAGAUACACCACUGGGAAACUGGAAAAACAUUUUAAAAUACUUUAAAAAAGAAUCCCUUUCCAAGAAACAGGACUUGAGUAGUGAAAUCUUAUUGUGACUUACCAAUGUAAAAAUGACAUUAAAAAUUACCCGGGAUGGAAA